GCGCUCGAGGCUCCCGCGCCUACCCGCGCCGGCCAAGGCCGGGAGCCAGAGCCUAGGGGAGCCGUCGUCUCCGCCCCCGCACUGUCGGGGGGCGGGCCCAAGAGUGCUGGCCAGGCCUUGCAAGUGCGAGUGUCCGCGAGCUGCAGGGGAGGCAGGACGCGUCACACUCGCGGGGGCGUUCCGAGUCCCUGGGGCGCGCCGGCGGGGAGGGAGAGAAGGAGUCUGAGCACCCGCUGGGCGCGGCACUGGGCAGAGGCGCGCGUGUUGCCGGUGUACUGAAGCUGCCCGCGACCGGCGGGAGCGGCGUUUCUCGCUUCCUCGGGGUCCGGUACUCGAAGCGCACGGCAGUCUGACCUCGGCUGGGAAGCGUUAAGCCCCAGCAGAGGGCUGGGAGGGAGUGCAGGAGCACUUGCGGGGUCUGCGCAGAAUACACAGAAGAUCGGGGCAACGAGCAAAGCAAAGCAACUCACCAAACAAUGAAGUUAGGAGAACCCAAUCCCGUGAAAUGAGCGGAACAAGGGAAUAACAGUGCAAAGGCAGCUUGAAGUAAGACCAGAAUGUUUUGCUUUGUUUUUACUAUUCCCAGGAAGAUACACUAAGAGGUUGGGACAAAAAUUGGGAUGAAGCGUAAAGCAAGUGUGUCCAUCCAAGGAACCAAACCACACAAUGCGCACCACCGAGCGGCCUGUUGCACUGCCGCUUUGAUUCGGUUACUAGCAUUUCACCGUUUCCUAUGUCAACAGCAUAACGGAUAACCACUUGUUUAAGCAACCAUUAAAAAAAGAGGAGUGUGUCUUAUACAGAAUUGUGUUUGUGGAUACAACAUGAAAACCAUUGCACAUCACUGUUCUGUCCUUAAGCUGAGCCUUGUAAGAAAAUGUUGAUAUUUUGUUUAGCCGUUUAUCUUUACAUGUUGUUAACCACGUAGUAUCCAUCCAGAAAGACUUGUUCCUGGCAAAGUGUAUUGGUAAGUGGCCAGUUUCAGACUGGAGCUGACAGUAAUGGUUUCCUACCACAUAUUGUCAUAAUUGCAGAGUCGUGAAAAUGGGCUGAUAUUUAACACAAAACAAAACAAAACAAAAUCCAGUUUGGCAGACAACAUAGGUAAUUGUGUUCUGUAAGAAGUCACAUUCACUUGGGGAAGGGAGGCCAACUGGGAAGUGAAGGGUCUGAUCUGCCUAGGGAACUGGCAAGAAAGACAGUCAUAACGUGGGAGGAAGCAAAGAUUGCCUGCUGAAGAGCCUAUCUUGCUACAGCCUGCUUACUCUCCAUGAAUAUUUUUUGCCAACUUUGAUGAUUCUGGCCUGGGGAUUGGAAUGCGGAGUUGGGGGGGGUGGUUCCCACUAGAACAAGCAUAAUUUACUGGAUCGCUUGCAAAGUUUACAGGCCGGUUUUCACAUGUCAGCAGGCACUACUUCAAUCCCUAAACUUCUCAUGGCAUGGAUUCCUAGGAAAGAGGAUCUUAACUCCUACAGUUUUUCUUUCAAGCUGUAAACUCUGCAGGUCAGUAACAACUUAUUACCAAUCUUUGCCAUCCAUCUCUGACUAUUCCCCUACUCCAACAUUCCCCCAUCUCACCCCAAGCAAUGGGGAAACAUCAAACUUAAAUCAGAAGUAUUUCUUAAUAGGAAAACACUAUGAUUUAUAGCAUAAUUCUGCACUGCAGUUUUACUAUUAAAUAAGGGAUUUUAGAUUCACUGAAUUUGCACAGUGCUUAUUUUCCGAAUAUUUUUAUACCUUUUUAAUUUUCAUAAGGCCCCUCACAACAAAAACCUACUAUUUAACCUUUCCUAUAUAUUUGUCUCUAGCUUUUCUUUGGAUGGGUACCUGGUGGCAGGCCGGCCCCUGGUUUUUGUGAAUACGAGAGCAAGAGUGCAGUUGAAGAUCCUCCCCCAGGCCCCUGCCCCCUUGUCUUCCUAACCCCUGACUCAGUCUUGCACCACAAGGAGUCUUGCACAGAAAUAUGUGGAGAGUAUAGUUCAAUAUGUGGACAGUAUAGUUCAAUAUGUGGACACUAUAGUUGUUGAUAACCAAGCUCUCUCCCCAAAGCCACCUUGGUCCUGGGAAUAUGCAUCUCAAACAUGCAAAUGACCCUUGAUUGGAUGGACCUAGGGAAGAUGCCUGAUCAAGCCCUGGAAGCGAGUUAUGGGACCAACAUUUGAGCAGGAAAUUUCAUGAUCUCAGGUACCUGGAAGGUGGUCUAGAAUGGAGGGGUAAUGGGGUCUGGGUGAAUAGUGCCCUGAGGGUGUCUCACCUGUGGUAAGGUAUGUGACAAGAGGAAGACUAGAGUGGGCCCUAUAAAUCUUGGGAGGCCAGUAUCCUAUUAAUUACUGUGCUGCUCAGCAUUGCUUGUU
rnacentral:lncRNA from 10 species